CUCUUCAGUCUUGAGGGCCACCCCUCCCUCCUUUCUUCUCUGGUGAGGUCAGGUGAUGCAUUUCUGAAGCCCUAUUGGAUGAAGAGGUUUGACCCUUCCUAGCUGUGUAGAUUCCAGGAAAAAUUUGAAUUGUCCUUCUGGGACCUCACUCCCACUCCAGCCCAGCCACUUAUGGCCCCACUAGGCCAGGCAAAGCUUGUGAUCAGAGAUACCAACAUUAAAUUUCAAGAAGGAAAGACAUAGCUGGAAAUUUUUCUGUGUUGAGAUCUGGGUAACAAGGAAAUCUGCCACCUGGAAGAGUUUGCAGAGAAUAUAAGGAUGACCUCAGCUUGCUUCAUCCAUCCGCUGAAGCUACUGUGAUGUU
rnacentral:lncRNA from 1 species